rnacentral:lncRNA from 1 species
AGAUCUGUUCUUCAUCCCAAAAAUUUGUUUUCUAUCCCAAGGAUUUGUUUUUUAUUCCAAGGAUUUGUUCUCCAUUCCAAAGAUUUUUUCUCCAUCCCAGGAGUUUGUUGUCCAUUCCCAGAGUUUCUUGUCCAUGCCAAAAAUUUGUUCUGUUUGUUCUCCAUCCCCAAAGUUUUGUUCUCAAUCCCCAGGUAUUUUUCCUUUAUCCCAAAAAUUUGUUUUCCAUCCCAAAGUUUUGUUCUCAAUCCCAAGGUUUUUCCUUUAUCCCAAAGUUUUUUUCUCCAUCCCAAAGUUUUUUUCUCCAUCUCAAAGUUUUUUUCUCCAUCCCAAAGAUUUUUUUAUCUCCAUCCCAAAAUUUUGUUCUCAAUCCCAAGGUUUCUUCUCCAUCCCAAAGAAUUUUUUCUCCAUCCCAAAGAUUUUUCCACUAUUCCCAAAUAUUUGAUCUCCAUCCCAAAGUUUUGUUCUCAAUCCCAAGGUUUUUUUCCCUUAUCCCAAAGAUUUGUUCUCAAUCCCAAGUUUUUUUUUCCAUCCCAAAGAUUUUUUUCUCCAUCCCAAAGUUUUGUUCUCAAUCCCCAGGUUUUUUCCUUUAUCCCAAAGAUUUUUUUCUCCAUCCCAAAGAAUUUUUCUCCAUCCCAAAGAUUUUUCCACUAUUCCCAAAUAUUUGAUCUCCACCCCAAAAAUUUGUUCUCAAUCCCAAGGUUUUUUCUCCAUCCCAAAGAAUUUUUUCUCCAUCCCAAAGUUUUGUUCUCAAUCCCCAGGUUUUUCUCCAUCCCAAAGAUUUUUUUCUCCAUCCCAAAGAAUUUUUUCUCCAUCCCAAAGUUUCGUUCUCAAUCCCAAGGUUUUUUCUCCAUCCCAAAGAAUUUUUUCUCCAUCCCAAAGAAUUUUUUCUCCAUCCCAAAGAUUUUUCCUCCAUCCCAAGGAUUUCUUCUCCCUCCCCAGGGACGAGGGGCCCCCCAGGGAACUCCAGGACGUGCGGGACAAUUCCAAGGACCGGGAAUACUGGGAAGCCAUGACCCAAAUCAUUCCCCAGCGGAAACUCAAACUUUGGGACGCGCUCGGAUCCGCGCUCGUGGAAUAUCAGUGAGUGCCUGGCGGGGCUGGGGCAGCCCUGGGACAAUUCCAAGGAUUUUUCCAUGGAUUUUCCUGGCGUUUCCUUUUCCCAGCAAAGUGCUGACCCGGAGAUCCCAGCUUUUUUCC